rnacentral:lncRNA from 1 species
UGAAGAUGAGAGAGAUCUUUUAACACAGCCCUUCAUCCUGAUCUCUGGGAAGGAGACAAUUGGAUGGCCCUGGCCAUUCUGCUUUCUCUGGUUCCCAUAGCAAGGCCCUGCAGAACUUCUGGAACACAAUUAUGAGGAAAGAAGCUCUCAGCAUUCCAAAGCAGAAGGAACAACUGUCUUGAAUAUGUCGAAAAUUGCUGUCUUUAAGGAGAUGAAGCACCCAGAGGACCACAAUCCUCAGAUUUUAUGAGAAGACCUUCUGCCCUGCCUGCCCUUUUGAGACUUUUAUCUGAAAAGGAACCUGCAAUCCUAGAAGAGAGGUGGAGGCAGGCUUGAUUCAGUUAAGGAAGUUCUUUCUUCUCAGCAAUUACCACGCCAAUUCUGUGGAAAAGCAACAUUUGGAAGACGAGAGAAAUCCACUGUAGGAAGUAUUAGAAAUACCUGCAAUUAGGCUUCAAACAAGCAAAUGAGGCAGGUCUGUUCCCCAGGCCUAACAAGUCUUUGAGGUAUUGUGCACAGA